GAUGAACGCUGGCGGCGUGCCUAAUACAUGCCAGUCGAGCGAACGGACGAGAAGCUUGCUUCUCUGAUGUUAGCGGCGGACGGGUGAGUAACACGUGGAUAACCUACCUAUAAGACUGGGAUAACUUCGGGAAACCGUAGCUAAUACCGGAUAAUAUUUUGAACCGCAUGGUUCAAAAGUGAAAGACGGUCUUGCUGUCACUUAUAGAUGGAUCCGCGCUGCAUUAGCUAGUUGGUAAGGUAACGGCUUACCAAGGCAACGAUGCAUAGCCGACCUGAGAGGGUGAUCGGCCACACUAGAACUGAGACACGGUCCAGACUCCUACGGGAGGCAGCAGUAGGGAAUCUUCCGCAAUGGGCGAAAGCCUGACGGAGCAACGCCGCGUGAGUGAUGAAGGUCUUCGGAUCGUAAAACUCUGUUAUUAGGGAAGAACAUAUGUGUAAGUAACUGUGCACAUCUUGACGGUACCUAAUCAGAAAGCCACGGCUAACUACGUG
rnacentral:rRNA from 1 species